rnacentral:rRNA from 1 species
AAAGCUAAUCGAACCCGGAGAUAGCUGGUUCUCCUCGAAAGCUAUUUAGGUAGCGCCUCAUAUGUAUCCUCUCGGGGGUAGAGCACUGUUAUGGCUAGGGGGUCAUCGCGACUUGCCAAACCAUUGCAAACUCCGAAUACCGAGAAGGACUGUAUGGGAGACACACGGCGGGUGCUAACGUCCGUCGUGAAAAGGGAAACAACCCAGACCCACAGCUAAGGUCCCAAAUUCAUAGCUAAGUGGAAAACGAUGUGGAAAGGCAUAGACAGCCAGGAGGUUGGCUUAGAAGCAGCCAUCCUUUAAAGAAAGCGUAAUAGCUCACUGGUCGAGUCGGUCUGCGCGGAAGAUUUAACGGGGCUAAGCUAUGAACCGAAGCUUGGGGUGCAUAUUUUUAUAUGCGCGGUAGAGGAGCGUUCCGUAAGCCUGUGAAGGUGAGUUGAGAAGCUUGCUGGAGGUAUCGGAAGUGCGAAUGCUGACAUGAGUAACGAUAAUAUGGGUGAAAAACCCAUACGCCGAAAGCCUAAGGUUUCCUUGCGCAACGUUAAUCGGCGCAGGGUUAGUCGGCCCCUAAGGCGAGGGCGAAAGCCGUAGUCGAUGGGAAGCAGGUUAAUAUUCCUGCACCUCGCGUGAGUGCGAUGGAGGGACGGAGAAGGCUAGGUGUACCGGGCGUUGGUUGUCCCGGGGAAAGGAGGUAGGCUGGGUCCUUAGGAAAAUCCGGGGGUCCUUUUAAAGCCGAGCACCGAGACGAGUCUUUUUUAGAUGAAGUCACUGAUGCCACGCUUCCAGGAAAAGCUUCUAAGCUUCAGCUCACGAAGACCGUACCGUAAACCGACACAGGUAGGUAGGAUGAGAAUUCUCAGGCGCUUGAGAGAACUCGGGUGAAGGAACUAGGCAACAUGGCACCGUAACUUCGGGAGAAGGUGCACCCUUUUUGGUGGCGCGUGCGCGUUAUAGCUGAAGAGGGUCGCAGAAACCAGGCCGCUGCGACUGUUUAUCAAAAACACAGCACUCUGCAAACACGAAAGUGGACGUAUAGGGUGUGACGCCUGCCCGGUGCUGGAAGGUUAAUUGAUGGGGUUAGUUGUAAAAAGCGAAGCUCUUGAUCGAAGCCCCAGUAAACGGCGGCCGUAACUAUAACGGUCCUAAGGUAGCGAAAUUCCUUGUCGGGUAAGUUCCGACCUGCACGAAUGGCGUAACGACAGCGGCGCUGUCUCCACCCGAGACUCAGUGAAAUUGAAAUCGCUGUGAAGAUGCAGCGUUCCCGUGGCAAGACGGAAAGACCCCGUGAACCUUUACUAUAGCUUUACACUGAACGUUGAGUUCGUCUGUGUAG